UACAGAGGUCCCAAGCGUUGUUCGGAUUCACUGGGCGUAAAGGGUGCGUAGGCAGGUCUUUAAGUCAGGGGUGAAAUCCUGGAGCUCAACUCCAGAACUGCCUUUGAUACUGAGGAUCUUGAGUUCGGGAGAGGUGAGUGGAACUGCGAGUGUAGAGGUGAAAUUCGUAGAUAUUCGCAAGAACACCAGUGGCGAAGGCGGCUCACUGGCCCGAUACUGACGCUGAGGCACGAAAGCGUGGGGAGCAAACAGG
rnacentral:rRNA from 1 species